rnacentral:rRNA from 1 species
UACAGAGGGCUCACGCGUUGUUCGGAUUCAUUGGGCGUAAAGGGUGCGUAGGUGGCGGGGUAAGUCAGGUGUGAAAUCUCGGAGCUCAACUCCGAAACUGCACUUGAUACUGCCUUGCUCGAGUACUGGAGAGGAGAUUGGAAUUUACGGUGUAGCAGUGAAAUGCGUAGAUAUCGUAAGGAAGACCAGUGGCGAAGGCGAAUCUCUGGACAGUUACUGACACUGAGGCACGAAGGCCAGGGGAGCAAACAGG